GACGAACGCUGGCGGCGUGCUUAACACAUGCAAGUCGAACGGUAAGGCCCUUCGGGGUACACGAGUGGCGAACGGGUGAGUAACACGUGGGUGAUCUGCCCUGCACUUCGGGAUAAGCCUGGGAAACUGGGUCUAAUACCGGAUAGGACUCCGGACUGCAUGGUCUGGGGUGGAAAGCUUUUGCGGUGUGGGAUGGGCCCGCGGCCUAUCAGCUUGUUGGUGGGGUGAUGGCCUACCAAGGCGACGACGGGUAGACGGCCUGGGAGGGUGGCCGGCAACACUGGGACUGAGAUACGGCCCAGACUCCUAAGGGAGGCAGCAGUGGGGAAUAUUGCACAAUGGGCGCAAGCCUGAUGCAGCGACGCCGCGUGAGGGAUGACGGCCUUCGGGUUGUAAACCUCUUUCAGCAUCGACGAAGCGAAAGUGACGGUAGGUGCAGAAGAAGGACCGGCCAACUACGUGCCAGCCGCCGCCGUAA
rnacentral:rRNA from 1 species